rnacentral:tRNA from 2 species
GGCUUUAUAGUCAAUAAUGAUAUUAGACUGCAAUUCUAAAGGAGUAAUAAUUACUAAGGCUU